CCUACGGAAGGCUGCAGUGGGGAAUAUUGGACAAUGGGGGGAACCCUGAUCCAGCCAUGCCGCGUGUGUGAAGAAGGCCCUCGGGUUGUAAAGCACUUUCAGUGAGGAAGAACGCCUGGUGGUUAAUACCCAUCAGGAAAGACAUCACUCACAGAAGAAGCACCGGCUAACUCCGUGCCAGCAGCCGCGGUAAUACGGAGGGUGCGAGCGUUAAUCGGAAUUACUGGGCGUAAAGCGCGCGUAGGUGGCUUGAUAAGCCGGUUGUGAAAGCCCCGGGCUCAACCUGGGAACGGCAUCCGGAACUGUCAAGCUAGAGUGCAGGAGAGGAAGGUAGAAUUCCCGGUGUAGCGGUGAAAUGCGUAGAGAUCGGGAGGAAUACCAGUGGCGAAGGCGGCCUUCUGGACUGACACUGACACUGAGGUGCGAAAGCGUGGGUAGCAAACAGGAUUAGAUACCCCAGUAGUC
rnacentral:rRNA from 1 species